rnacentral:rRNA from 1 species
UGGGGGAAUUUUGGACAAUGGGGGAAACCCUGAUCCAGCCAUCCCGCGUGUGCGAUGAAGGCCUUCGGGUUGUAAAGCACUUUUGGCAGGAAAGAAACGUCGCGGGUUAAUACCCCGCGAAACUGACGGUACCUGCAGAAUAAGCACCGGCUAACUACGUGCCAGCAGCCGCGGUAAUACGUAGGGUGCAAGCGUUAAUCGGAAUUACUGGGCGUAAAGCGUGCGCAGGCGGUUCGGAAAGAAAGAUGUGAAAUCCCAGAGCUUAACUUUGGAACUGCAUUUUUAAACUACCGGGCUAGAGUGUGUCAGAGGGAGGUGGAAUUCCGCGUGUAGCAGUGAAAUGCGUAGAUAUGCGGAGGAACACCGAUGGCGAAGGCAGCCUCCUGGGAUAACACUGACGCUCAUGCACGAAAGCGUGGGGGAGCAAACAGGAUUAGAUACCCUGGUAGUCCACGCCCUAAACGAUGUCAACUAGCUGUUGGGGCCUUCGGGCCUUGGUAGCGCAGCUAAACGCGUGAAGUUGACCGCCUGGGGGAGUACGGUCGCAAGAUUAAAAACUCAAAAUG